UGGUGUAUUAGGAGCUGAUGUGCAGCUUAAAUGCUGAAGUGAUAGAUCAAGAGUUGACAUGAUAGCAUAGAGAUUGAUCUAGUCGAUCAAGAGUUGUUAUAGUAGCUUAAAAGUUGAUAUAGCAAACUAGAAGGUGAUAUAGUAAUUCAGAAGCCGAUAUAAUAGACUAAUAUAUCAAGCUGAUGUGAUGACACAUAAUUUGAUAUGGAGAAUGAAGACUUGACAUAGUAGCUUAGAAGCUCAUGUAG
rnacentral:lncRNA from 1 species